rnacentral:lncRNA from 1 species
GAGUUGUCAGGGCAGUCUGUGGCAACUGGGGCAUUAGAGUUGCCUGGUCAGCUCAUGGCAACUGGGGCACUGGAGUUUUCGGGUCAGUCUGGGGCAGCUGGAGCACUGGAGCUUUUGGGGCAGCCCCUGGCAACGGGGGUGCUAGAGUUACCGGGGCAGCCUGGAGCGCCAGAGUUGCCUGGGCAGCCUGUGGCAACUGUGGCGCUGGAGAUCUCUGUUCAGUCUGUGGUGACAACAUCGGAGCUGUCGACGAUGACCGUGUCGCAGUCCCUGGAGGUGCCCUCGACGACAGCGCUGGAAUCCUAUAAU